rnacentral:lncRNA from 1 species
GUGCUGGGAGUACAGGCGUGAGCCACUGCACCCGGCCGACACUAUCAGAAUUUUUAAACAAUAAAGUCACCAGUCUGGGAAAAAAAAGUCUCACAGGUGUAGGGAUUGGGAAAGACAUUUCAAUUUGAGGAAAAAGGCUAGUAUAAAAAAUGGUUGGAAACCAUAGGAUUUAAUGUCAUUCUGUAAAAAGCAAUUUGGUAAAAAGUUAAUAUUUUAGUUUUUCUAGUAUUGAUAAUUUUGGUGGACUAAGAAUAUAAAUAUUGUGUAGUUUCUGUAUGGUCUUUUCUUUUUAGAACUAAAAUGGUGUGUGAUCAUUAAGAAGGAUCAGAACACACAUAUAAACAAAAGAACAUAAAGAACCCCAUUAUCCCAUCCACACAGAACAAUUACUGAUAACUCCUUAGUACAUAUCUUUUAUUUAAUUUUUUAAUUUUUCUGAGACAGACUCUCGCUCUGUCACCCAGGCUGGAGUGCAGUGGUGCGAUCUCGGCUCACUGCAACCUAGGCCUUCUAGGUUCAAGCGAUUCUCAUGCCUCAGGCUCCUAAGUAGCUGGGAUUACAGGCAUGCGUCACCAUGCCUGGCUAAUUUUUAAAAUAUUUUUAGUAGAGACGGGGUUUCUCCAUGUUGGCCAGGGUGAUCUGGAACUCCUGGCCUCAAGUGAUCUGCCCGCCUUGGCCUCCCAAAGUGCUGGGAUUACAGGCAUGAGCCACUGUGCCUGGUCUAGUGCAUCUUUAAAAAUUCUUCUCAAUACAUAUUUGAACACACACAUAACUAUUUUUUUCUUCAAAAAGAAGAUAGUUUACAUACCAUUAAGAUCCUAUUUUAUUUAAGCAAUUUCAAGAACUGUUGGAUAUUUAGAUUAUUUUGAUUAGCCCAGUCUCUGGUGUUAUAUAUUUUGUUUGUCCCAGCUCUUCCCUUAGUAUUUAGCUACUGUAACUUUUAACUUUUCCAAAAGCCCUUAGAAGAAAUGAUUUAGCUGUGACAAAUCACAGCUAAAAAGCCAUCUCCCAGAUAGAUUAGAGUGGUGUGGCAUCAUUGUGGUACACCAAAACUGGAAAUUAGGUUUCAACUAAAUUGUCAUGUUUACCAAGUUUCUGUGAGACAAAUUAUAUGACAAUCUGAACCACAGAGCAUGUAUUUGUAAGAUGCAUUUUUAAAAGCCAGUACAAUUUUAUCUGAAUAAGAAGGCUGAUAUGGGCUGAGUGUCACAGGAGUCUGUCCUGAGCAACUUAGUGUAAGCUAGGGAAUGUGGACUUAAUUAUGAAAAGCCAAGAGGAGCAUCAAAGGAGCUCAAGAGGAGAAGUGACAUGUUAUUUAUAUAGGUUUUAAAAAUAUGACUUCUGUAACCAAUAGAAGAAUGGAUUCAGUGAGGCCUAGGCUGGUGGUGGUAAGACCAGUUAGGAGACCACUGUAAUGAUCUAAGAACGAAGUGAUGCAGACUGAACGAUGAACUCUGUGUAGGUGUGAAGAGGCUGGAACAGAUAGAGCAGAGACUAGGAAAGCAUAAACUCCCCAGAAUUUGGUUACUAGUUAGCUAUAGGGGGCGGGUUGGGGGAGGGGGUGAGCAACAAAAGAGAGGAGACUAGCAUGACACUUGUAUUCCUAGCUGGGCCAUCUGGGUGGUCCAAAAUGGCAUAAAACGGAGUAGGAAAUACAGCAGAAGCAGGUUUGGGAGGGAGAAAGAUGAGUUUAAUUUAAAACACAUGGUGUCUGAGGUGCCUAUCCAUUUGAAUGUGUGGGUCUAAAAACGUGGGGGUGGGAUUUGCGCUGGAAGUAAGGAUAUGCGGGUCAUGUGUUAUGAAUGGUAUUUAAGGGUAGGGGUUUGGAUAAGGUCACUCAGGAAGAGUGUGGAGAAUGACAGAGGCUGAGUAUGACCAGAGAGGGCAGAGAUAAGCCAGUCAUGUUGUAGAGCAGAGAGCUAUAUUACGAAAGGCGGGGUCAACGGCAUAAAAUGCCUCAGUGAGUCCUAGAGCUAGAAAGUGUUUACCUGAACAUUGACCUUGGUGAGAGCAAGUUCAUGGGACAGUGGAGGUGGAAAUCAGAUUGUAGGAGUGGUGUGGCACAACUCACCAAGACGAAGAGUGUAGUGCAGUCCUUCAAAAAGUGAGCACACUGCUCUGGUGGAGACUCAGAGGUUCCCCAAAGUCUCAGGAUAAAAAAGGCACAUCUUCUAGUAUAUUAUUUGACUUGACAUGAGAAAAAACAUUUCUCAUAUAAAGGUAUAUAAACUUAUAUCUAAGAUCCAAAUAAAGUCAACUGAAAACUUAAUUCUCUCCAUGACAGCUCAAAGUGUUAUGCAAGAUUUCUGAGAAUUCCUGGAUGGAGGGGUGGGGGCUGGAGUCUUGCAUGCAAUUCCUGGAUGGAGGAGUGGGGGCUGGAGGCUUGUAUGCUCAUGGUCCUCUUUGGUUUCAUACUCUAAGCAUGCAUCUUGCAAACUCAUGAUUAAUGCCACUAUUCCAAACUACAUUGACCACAUCAGCCCUCAUGCUUAACUUCCAUAGACUCAACACAGCAUGAAAUUUUGGGAAAUGAAGAUGAGGUUGAGAUUACAGCAACAUAAACAACUUCAAAUUGAGUAUUAGAUGCCCUAUGACGAAAAAUCCUCUGGCUAACACCACCAGAAAUUUAUUCCCACUGGCUAUUUUGUUUUCUUGUUGGUUUAUCCCUUCUUUCCUCUUCUCAUGAUUCUGCUUCAUUACCACUCUCCUAGAUUACUCUUGAGAAUCCCAAAUUCUUUCACUCUUUUAUGUACUGCAAGUUCAGCUCUCUCCACCCUCCUCCCAAAGGCAGCUCUAGCUCUACCGCUGCAUACCCAAAUGGGUCAAUAUGACCAGCAGGUACAUCUUUUAUUUAAUAGAAGCCACUCCAAAGUUGUAGUUGUGAAGAAAAUUUUCUUCCCUUUGGAAAAUGGUACAUCUCCUUGGUCACCACAAAAACCCUUGCUAAGUCACUCAUAAUCUGUUAUCUGGACUAUUGCAUCGCUGAGGAUGCCUAACUGGUUUCUCCAUCUUCAUCCUUUUUUUUUUUUUUUUUUUUUUUGAGACAGGGUCUUGCUCUGUUACCCAGGCUGGAGUGCAGUGGCAUGAUCACGGCUCAUUGCAACUUCGAAUUCCUGGGCUUAAGUGAUCCUCUUCACUCAGCCUCUCGAGUACUAAGGCUACAGGCAUGCGACACCAUGCCCAGAUAAUUUUUAAAUUUUUUGUAGAGAUGGGGGUCUCAUUGUGUUGCCCAGGCUGGUCUCAAACUCCUAGACUCAAUAAAUCCUCCUGCCUUGGCCUCCCAAACUGCACUCCCAAAUGAGUGCAGGUGUGAGCCACUGCACUUGGCCUCUGUCUCCAUUUUUAUUCACCGCCAAUUUGUCUUCAACAUGCCAGAGUGAUAUUUUUUCCAAAAUUCGACUCCGAUCACAUCAGUCACCUGCUUAAAAUUCUUUAAUAGUAACCCAUAUUCUACAGAAUAAAGUUCAUAUUCUUUAGCAUGGUAAAUAUGAUUCUUACCAUUUUUCUGCCUCAUCUUCCAAUGCUUGUCCUCAGGUACCCUGUGCUUAAGCCAUAUUGAGUGACUUGUAGUUCACUGAAUGAGUGAUGGCCCCUCUUGACACACAUCUUUACUUAUAUCAUCUACCUGUUUGGAAUUCACUUUUCACUCUCUACAUCUGGUUAAUACCUACUCAUCUUCCAAAAAACACUUUGAAAGAUGAGUAUCCUAUUGACCUAAGGAGAUGGGGAAAAAGGCACGAUUCAAAAGAGCCUUUGCUCUUCUCCACACUCUCCCUUAGGUGACCUUAUCCAGGUCUCUAUCUUGAAAUACCAUCAUACCACAUGACCCCCAAGUCUUUACUCCAGCACAAAAUCUACCCCUACAAUUCUAAACCCACACACCCAAAUGGAAAAGCACCUCAGACACAAUAUAUUUAAAAUUGAACUCCUCCUCUUCUUCCAAAACCUUCUGCUAUAUCCCACAGUCCUGCAUAUCACUCACUGGACAGUCUUCUCUAUCCCUAUCCCUCCUGUCUUCCCACUGGACAGUUACCUGUCUUUGAUUUCCACACACUCAGCAUUGAUGAGGAGUUUUAACAGAGCGCUUGCCACAUGAGCUGUUUAGGGACAGUAGCCAUGUCUGAUCUCGUUAGUGCUCCAGGGCCAAAUACAUUUAAUAAAUGUUUGUUGAAUAAAUGAAUGACUCCAAGAAAAUGCACACCACUCACAUGGUGGUUUUUAUGAUAAUGGGAUUUUGUAUUUCUGAUAUUGUACAAUGGCUACAAUUUGCCUGAUAGAAAAUGCCUCUGGUUCAUUCAACACCUUUAGUCAGCAUGAAACUUGGCUCUUGCUCCUCAAACACCAUACCAGCUUCCCCACCUUCUUGGUUUUGUUCACAGGGUCUCUUCAGUUCAGAAUUUUCUUUUUAACAUCUCCUUGGGUCAAUAAGCUACUCAUCUUUCAAGAUUCACUCUUAUAAAAUUUACCUGUUCCAUUCUUCCCUCUGAGUCUUCUUUAUCCUUCCCUCAAACUUUUCUUUUGGUACCUACUAUAUUUUGCAUUGCAUUAUACUAUUUGUAGACGUGUCUUUUUUUUUUUUUUAAAGACUGAGUUUCGCUCUUGUUGCCU